ACAAGAAGUCCCCCCCUUUUAUAGCCUCCCCAUCCUCUGUCUCUCCUCCCCUGUGGCUGUUCCGAGUGGGAGGAUAAGGCUGUGGAGGCUUGAUCUCCUCCGCAGAUGAUGGGAGAUAGUUUCACGGUUGAGAAGAGAUGGCUCCACGCGGACGGGCGGAAGGUUGGCUUGCGGAUGGGAGCGUUCUUUGGACGUGGAAAUCUCAUGCGGUUGCUGGAUAAGGAUGGAUCACAUCUGUGGAUGAGGUGCUGGGAUUAUUGCUUGAUCUUCGGACGUGUUGUAGAGGCUGGCUUUGGUCCCGAUGGCUGGAUGGAUGAAGUUGAACAACGGAGUACGCGGACGCGGGAGUGAUGUGCUCGGCUGAGAUUGCUAGAUGAAGGACUCGUCUGUGGAUGGGAGGAAACGAUCCGUGAAGCUCGGGAUGCUUGCGGUUGAGCAGCUGGAUGCGGGAGGAGGUUAUGAGGCCUGGGGAUAAUGCUGAAGAGCUUGGGAAUUGGCUGGAAAUGUUGGGAUAAGAAUGGAUUACGAAUGAGAUGUGAGGAGUGGUUGUAGAUGGCUAGAUUCAUGCGGAUGAAGGGAAACGGACGCGGCUGAAUGCGAAGAAGACUCAGUUUCGGGAUGCAGGGGAUUCAUCCGUGGUCGAUGGAGUUAAUCCGAAUGGGAGGAUAGGAAAUCUGGGAGUUUGGUUGGGAGGAAGUGAUGAACCGUGAGCUGGGAUGCAGGGAAAAUCUGGGAAGGAUCCGGAAGAGGAGGAAGUUCGUCCUGUUCUUUGGACAUGGGAGGAAGAUGGAGUUGAUCACGGAAAAGAUGGGAUCUGGGACUUGGUU
rnacentral:lncRNA from 1 species